rnacentral:misc_RNA from 1 species
UUUCCGUAGGUGAACCUGCGGAAGGAUCAUUGAUAAUAAAGUGUUUUAUUGAACUUUUUAAAAAUCCAUAUCCACCUUGUGUGCAAUGUUAGAUCUCGUCAAUCUAGGCCAGAUUUUUUUACAUCAACUCACCCUUUAACUAAUUUGUCUGAAGAAUAUUAUGAAUACUUAAUGCAAAAUACAACUUUUAACAACGGAUCUCUUGGCUCUC